rnacentral:rRNA from 1 species
UACGGGGGGGGCAAGCGUUGUUCGGAAUUACUGGGCGUAAAGGGCGCGUAGGCGGCCUGCUAAGUCGGACGUGAAAUCCCUCGGCUCAACCGGGGAACUGCGUCCGAUACUGGUGGGCUCGAAUCCGGGAGAGGGAUGUGGAAUUCCAGGUGUAGCGGUGAAAUGCGUAGAUAUCUGGAGGAACACCGGUGGCGAAGGCGGCAUCCUGGACCGGUAUUGACGCUGAGGCGCGAAAGCCAGGGGAGCAAACGGG